AUAAAAAGUUGUAUCCCAAGCAGAUUAGGCUGGCUGCGCACACUCCUUGCAAACAGGGUUUAUCCGUACUCUCCCAAGAGAGCUUACUUUGCAAAUGGAGUUGUUUUUUAACAAAUUAGCAUCUCAAUUUGCUGAAAGGAGUUUGUAACAUGGUGGAACUUCCAGUGCACUGUCAGGAACACCUGUACUUCUCUAACAAGGAUGCAAGGCUGCAUCUUGCUGGUUGGAUUUUGGAGUACCAGUAACAUGUUGAAUGCCUGUCGUGUCCACUGGUGCAUUUCUUAGGAGAUAAUCGCACAGCCAGAGGCUCCCAUCGCAGAUGUACAAGCAAUUUCAAGCACAGCACCCCAGGAGUGAAAACAUUCUCAUCUCUUGGACCACCCCAUUCCCUUUAAAUGAUGGGCUUUGCUUUCCGGAAAGACCUCACCAUUCUGCAUAUUCCCAAGCUGAGAACAUAAUUGCAGUGCGUCGUCACAACUCAUCACAGAAGUGAUUAAACGUCAAAAAAAAUAGAUGUUGACUUCAUGUGAGAAGAGGCAGAUCUAACAGAUGAGUGUCCCAUGAA